CAAUAGCGUAUAUUAAAGUUGUUGCAGUUAAAAGCUCGUAGUUGGAUUUCGGAGUGGGCCAGUUGGUCCGCCGCAAGGUGUGUUACUGACUGGUUUGCUCUUCUUCGCAAAGACUGCGUGUGCUCUUGAGUGAGUGUGCGUAGAAUUUACGACGUUUACUUUGAAAAAUUAGAGUGUUCAAAGCAGGCUAUUGCUUGAAUACAUGAGCAUGGAAUAAUGGAAUAGGACUUUGGUCCCAUUUUGUUGGUUUCUAGGACCGAAGUAAUGAUUGAUAGGGAUAGUUGGGGGUGCUAGUAUUAAGCGGCCAGAGGUGAAAUUCUUGGAUUCGCUUAAGACUAACUACUGCGAAAGCAUUUCACCAAGGAUGUCUUCUUUAAUCAAGAACGAAAGUUGGGGGAUCGAAGACGAUUAGAUACCA
rnacentral:rRNA from 1 species